UACGGGGGGGGCAAGCGUUGUCCGGAAUCAUUGGGCGUAAAGAGCGUGUAGGCGGCCAGGUAGGUCUGCUGUGAAAACUCGAGGCUCAACCUCGAGACGUCGGUUGAAACCAUCUGGCUAGAGUCCGGAAGAGGAGUGUGGAAUUCCCGGUGUAGCGGUGAAAUGCGCAGAUAUCAGGAAGAACACCCGUGGCGAAGGCGGUUCUCUGGGACGGUACUGACGCUGAGGAGCGAAAGCGUGGGGGAGCGAACAGG
rnacentral:rRNA from 1 species